CUUCAGCGAGCCGAGCCACAGCGGCUGGCCUUCAGGCCGGCCCUGGCCAUAGGUGGCGAUCAACGCCUCGGCCUC
rnacentral:antisense_RNA from 1 species